rnacentral:rRNA from 1 species
CAGUAGCCGCGGUAAUACGUAGGGUGCGAGCGUUAAUCGGAAUUACUGGGCGUAAAGCGUGCGCAGGCGGUUUUGUAAGACAGGCGUGAAAUCCCCGGGCUCAACCUGGGAAUGGCGCUUGUGACUGCAAAGCUAGAGUGCGGCAGAGGGGGAUGGAAUUCCGCGUGUAGCGGUGAAAUGCGUAGAUAUGCGGAGGAACACCGAUGGCGAAGGCAAUCCCCUGGGCCUGCACUGACGCUCAUGCACGAAAGCGUGGGGAGCAAACAGGAUUAGAUACCCGAGUAGUCCCUGUCUCUUAUAC